UCCCAGACUCCUACGGGAGGCAGCAGUGGGGAAUAUUGGGCAAUGGGCGCAAGCCUGACCCAGCAACGCCGCGUGAAGGAAGAAGGCUUUCGGGUUGUAAACUUCUUUUGACAGGGAAGAGCAGAAGACGGUACCUGUCGAAUAAGCCACGGCUAACUACGUGCCAGCAGCCGCGGUAAUACGUAGGUGGCAAGCGUUAUCCGGAAUGAUUGGGCGUAAAGGGUGCGCAGGCGGAACCAUAAGUCUGAAGUAAAAGCCAUCGGCUCAACCGAUGUAAGCUUUGGAAACUGUGGAUCUGGAGUGCAGGAGAGGACAGUGGAAUUCCAUGUGUAGCGGUAAAAUGCGUAGAUAUAUGGAGGAACACCAGUGGCGAAGGCGGCUGUCUGGCCUGUAACUGACGCUGAGGCACGAAAGCGUGGGGAGCAAAUAGGAUUAGAUACCCCUGUA
rnacentral:rRNA from 1 species